GUAAUGCUAUAGUGCUCUGACUGCUCUGAUGCUCUCACCUUCACCUUCACCUUCACCCCCUCUCUCUCUCCCCUCCAACCGCCAGAAAGCCACAACAACAAAAAUCAUGGUUCUCUAUUUUUUUUCUCGAAUUUUCACCCUCUAUCUAUCCUCCUUUACCUUCGUCCCCUCAUCCAAAUUUUGGAAAUCGAGAUAAUUAUGGUUUUAUGGUCAAUUUCGACCAUGGAAAACUCCGGAUCUGAAGUUUUCAUGUUCGAAUUUGACCUUAAAACCUCGAAAUUAACCGGAAGAAGAGAGAAGAGGUGGCGGCGUUGCGGUUGUGUUGCAGCGGCGCGACAACAACGAUGGAGGGAGACGCGGAAAUGGGAGGGCUCUGGGUUGAGUUUUGGGUUUGGAUUUGAAAGGAGAUGAUGUUCGUAAUCUUGAAGGGGCGUAAUUGAAGUAGCGGCGGAGAGGCGGCUUCCUCUUUGAUUGUCUGUCAGUGAUGGUGGAACAAGCUCGGAAAAGUGGUGUUGAGUUUCCUGGGCUGGAGUACCAAUUCUCAGCAAACUGGCGCAUUUAGGGGUGACUACGCAAGAAAGGAAGCUCCUAUGCAGAUUAAUAGACUGUAGAAAACUCUCUCCAGAAACAUGCCUACACGCUUCACAGAACGAGUGAUUGCCUGUAACUGAGCAGUACUGCAAGUCCUGUUUUCAGAACAUAACAGGAUCAACUCUAAUAAGAUAGAUGGGUCACUCAAAAGGAGAGGUUUCAGCACAACAUAUGGAGAUCAAGAGGCUAAAGGAAGAUGUUGUCAGACUUCAGAACCAGAUAAGCAUCUUGCAGAAUCAGUUGAUUAAUUCUUGUUUCUUUACUCUAAGAUAUGUUUGUUGAUUUACUUCUGUAAUUUGGGUUCGUUCUUGUUAGUUUGUAUGAAUACAUACCGCGAUAUCUUUUGGGCACUUGUAAGCCUAUGUGCAUCAUGUGUUGAAGUAAAUUUCUGAUAAUUUGUGUAUGUUUAGUAAGUACUAGAUUGUGAAAAGGCGGAAGAACUUGUACGUCAAUCAGAAGCAAAGUAAUAUUACCUUA